rnacentral:rRNA from 1 species
AUUGAACGCUGGCGGCAGGCCUAACACAUGCAAGUCGAACGAGUGGCGGACGGGUGAGUAAUGUAUGGGAAACUGCCUGAUGGAGGGGGAUAACUACUGGAAACGGUAGCUAAUACCGCAUACCAUCGGAUGUGCCUAGAUGGGAUUAGCUAGUUGGUGGGGUAAAGGCUCACCUAGGCGACGAUCCCUAGCUGGUCUGAGAGGACGACCAGCCACACUGGAACUGAGACACGGUCCAGACUCCUACGGGAGGAAGCAGUGGGAAAUAUUGCACAAGGGGGGAAAGCCUAAUGCAGCCAGGCGGCGGGUAGGAAGAAGGCCUUCGGGUUGUAAAGUACUUUCGGCGGGGAGGCGGUACCCGAAGAAGAAGCAACGGCUAACUCCGUGCCAGCAGCCGCGGUAAUUC